rnacentral:rRNA from 1 species
CCUACGGGAGGCAGCAGUGAGGAAUAUUGGUCAAUGGACGAGAGUCUGAACCAGCCAAGUAGCGUGAAGGAUGAAUGCCCUAUGGGUUGUAAACUUCUUUUAUAUGGGAAUAAAACGUUCCACGUGUGGGAUUUUGUAUGUACCAUAUGAAUAAGGAUCGGCUAACUCCGUGCCAGCAGCCGCGGUAAUACGGAGGAUCCGAGCGUUAUCCGGAUUUAUUGGGUUUAAAGGGAGCGUAGGUGGAUUGUUAAGUCAGUUGUGAAAGUUUGCGGCUCAACCGUAAAAUUGCAGUUGAAACUGGCAGUCUUGAGUACAGUAGAGGUGUGCGGAAUUCGUGGUGUAGCGGUGAAAUGCUUAGAUAUCACGAAGAACUCCGAUUGCGAAGGCAGUUCACUGGACUGCAACUGACACUGAGGCUCGAAAGUGUGGGUAUCAAACAGGAUUAGAUACCCUUGUAGUC